AAAAUGCAUUUGCAAACAUAAUUACAGAUGCAGCAAUGUCCUCUAAUAAUGGAUUAUAUAAAGCAUGUUAUGAAAUGCAUUCAUAUCAACCUCUUGGCGAGUUAUACUACCUGCUAUAACCAGGUGUUAUAAAAACAAUCAUGGCUCUGUGGGAAUUAGUGACACAAACUACGUACCCUGUAAAUAAAAUACAAUUCCAGGUAGUUGUAAAAGGUGCUGUAGAGGGUGGUGAAGUUAUUUUGGACGUGCUGGAGCCAGGAGCACAGAGGGGAAGCAGCUCUUGGGAAAAGCGUGGUGAUAAAUGGUGCUUCAAUGUCCAUUGGCUGACUCUUGGCUCAAGGCCUCCAGGUUGCUCCAGCUGUCCUUAUGUGCCACAAUAUUUUGUCCUGGUUUGUAGUCCCAAAUUCCCAUCAAAAUGUGCAGCUCUUUGCUCACCUAAGUAAUGAAUGAAAAAUAAUUGAGACUGUAGUCCUGAAUUAUUGCCAAGUGUUUAUGAAGUUGCUUCAAUUUGCUGGAUUCCCACAUGAAGGCUUUAUUUGAAGCCUUUUCAGUUGAAUGGAAAUUUACUGUUGAAUUGGGCAAUCUCUGGAUAAAGUCUUGGUUUAAUUUUGUGAGAUUAUUUCUUUAGGGCAGAAGGGAUGUUAUUCUGAGUUAUUAGGUUGUGUAUUUUGCUGUGUCAUGAGAAGAACAAAUGGAUUUCUUCUACUUCCUCAUCACUAAAAACAGCCUCUAGUAAAAGAUAAGCAGAACCAGAACAGAUAAAAAGGAAGCCCCUUCCCUUUUCUCCUGGCACUGAACCUUUACCCAAAAUCUAUUUUUUUGUAUGGUUCCUGUUGUUGUUCAUAUAUUUCCUAGUUCUGCCUAGGACAGGGAGCACAGUCACAACCACACAAGUUCCCAUCAUCGUGUUUCUUUCAGAAACUAUUCAGAAAAAACCUCCCCCAGCCCAUUUUUUUUUUCCAAUAACAGAUGUUGGAGCAGUUGAGAAAGCAAAUAGUGCACAGACCAUGGGUACCACAUCAGUGAACUGCAAUUCAAUUUAAGAAUGCAGCUGCAGAAACACGCUCCUCAAUGCAUCAGAUGCAAGUUUUUGAGGAUGAAAUGCACCAUACAGCAGGCCCAAAGCCCAGCUCUCUGGAACCAAGAACCUGCUUGCAAAUGAGUGAGAUGCCCUUUCAAGCUGCUUUCCUGCAUAUUUCCCCUAUGAAAUCCAGUAGAUUAUGGUGCAUAACUACUGUUAUGCAGACAUGAUGUUGGGAUGCAGCUGGGACAUAUGCUCAGACACAGAAAUUGAGAUUUAUUUCCAUAGAAGCAGCUACCCUGAUAAUUUGCAAGCACAUCUUUCCUCCAAGGACCUGAAAGCACUUCACAAAUAUUGUUGGAGGCUCAGAAUGUUCUUGCACUUAAGUAAACUCGUUCUUAGAGAGGUUAAGUGAUUUAUUUGAGGUUUCUCAGUAAAUCAGAGGUAGAGGUAGGAAGUGAAACAAGAUCAUGACUGCAAAUGACAUCCUUUAACCUUUGGAGGUGCUACUGUGUACAAAGGCCUGACCCCACCAGCCUCACUCAUAUGAGCAGUGUCUCUGAAGUUAAUGGGAUGACUGGCGUGAGAAAAGGGCUGCAAUAUUUGCCUCUUUAGGCCUUUCUCUGUGAAGUGUUUAAUAUUUCCCCUGAGGUAUGUUUGGCUUCACCUCCUACGGAGUGUCUUAUAGCAACAACAACAACAGCAACAGAAAAGUCAGUUCCAUUUUCUUCCUUUAGUGUUUAAAAAUCAGGAUCCAAGGCGAGCGCUCUCUCUGGGCGGGCGCUAAGCCACGGGGACCUGAAGAGGGUUGGUGUUUCUUGGAAAUGGGCUUUGACUCCUCUGCUUUUCUCCUUCACAGGGAAAGAAGAGAUUCUGGGACACAGUAUGGACCUGCACGUUUCUCAGCUGGUAAAAAAACAUAGUCCAUAUUUCUUCUCAGCAAAACGUUUGGCUCUGCCCCAACCUCAGCAAUCACAAAGGCUAAUAGGCUUGAAAUGAAUGAAGAGGUAGCAGAGGAGAGAGUGACACAGGCAGUAAAUUAUAGGAGCGGUCUGGCACCCAUCCUUGGAAGCUGGCCCGGCUGUGAACGCCGGGGUUGGCCCUCCGCACGCUGUUGCUAAGCCCACGGCCCAAUAGCCGGCAGCGCCCCGCGCACCCCGCCCGCGCCCCGGCCGCAGCCCCGCUCCGGCCCGCCCCCAGGAAAAGCUGCUUUUCUCCCACUUGCUAAUAAUAAUAAUUAAAAAAAAAAUAGAAAAGAAAAAGAAAAGAAGCCCAAAAGCGCGGCGUUUGUGCACGCAGACCCUGCCCGGCUCUCGGCAGGAGCGGAGCGGAGGGAGCGGGGCAGCGCCAGCCCGUGCCCGGCUCCCGCUGCGGUGGAUGGGGCUCCGCGCCGGGCUCCGGUCGGACUCGUUCUGCGCUCCCUCCCUCUGCUCCCACUGCCUCAAGGUAUAGGGCAGAAACAAAGGGAUUUUUCUCUCCCCCCCACCCUUCUCCUUUUUUUCUUUUUUAAUAACUUUAUCAACUCAGGAGCCCAGGAUGAUUUGUGUGUUUCAUAGUCUCCCUGUGCUUUUACUCUCGGUUAGAACUUGGAUCCUUUCCAUUUCUCAGUUAAAAACUAUUUUUUUUCCUUUUUCUUUUCCUUUUCUUUUUUUUUCGCCCUUCUCUCUUUCCCCCCAGUUGUUUGUGGUUUUGCUGGAAAGGGCAUUGUUAACCCUUUCACCUCCUGGCUGUCAAAGGCUCUCUUGGCUGAGCUAUUUUAGGUAUUUUUGGAACAGCAGAAUAAAGUGCUGGGUUUCAAAAACACAAAAUGAAAAAAAAAAAAAAAAACCAGCCAAGAACAGUGAUGGAAAAGAUUUACAUUGAAACUGCUACUGUAGGAUAAACCCAGUUAAACAAGCAGAGCCCCUGUUACGGGUUUACAGGAGCCCUCAGCACUUUUGCAAGGCACAGGAUGAGGCCAUUCCAAGCUGGUGCUCCAAAGCAUCGAUUUAAGGGGCAGAAGGUGAGAGGUUUGGUAAAAGCACAGGAGGAGGUGACAGUCCUGGCUGCUCCACGAUGGAGAGGGAGCCAGGCCACCAUGUGCUGCUGCUGGACAGGGCUGACACCCCUCCCUCGCACAGCGUGUGCACAGAGCCCUGCUUUUGGGUGAAAAACUGGGAAUUCUGGGGCUCUUUGCUGCCUAACCACAUAAAAAGGCAAAAGGUGCACUUUUACACCGGGGCUGUGCUCAGUGCCAUGUCACACUUGCCUGUGGCUGAACAUGAAGUCCUCAACACACCAGGGACACACACAAAUCGUGGGAAAAGCCGGGCAAAUUCUCGCUGGAAGUUGUAAAACCUAGAGGAUUAAUUUUUCCUGUUGUCCAUAGGAGACUAGGGACUGGGAAGCUGGAAUCUGUCAUUGAAGGUAUUUUUUUCCCCUCCUCAUCUGCAGUUGCAGCUGCAGACAGUGGGUAAGGUCUCUCCCGUGGGGAGGCUGGGCUGGGUGCGCACGUCCGCGCCUGCACCGCUCCCAGAGCUUCCCCAGCUGAAGUCCUGGAGCUUUGAGGGAAUGCUAGAAACAGAGAUGACUUCAAUAUUUGGCAGCAGAUAGGCUAAGUUAUCUUUUUCCUUUUAAAUAGAGCAUAUUAUGCAAGCAGGUUUUAUUAUAAUUAUGGGUAUUUAUUAUUUCUGUAGAUUAUAAAAGAAUAUUCUUGGCAGUAGGGAUGUAAAUUUAGUAUUUCAUGGCAUUUGUGAAUUAAGUAACACGGCAUUCUUGUACACCUUCUCAAAGCACAUGAAAAAUCCCCUCUUAUAUUUGCACGUCCUGUGGUAGUUAGCACAUAGUAUUUUUCCUUUUUAGACUUUAAAAAAACCCUUUUUGUAUUGGUUAAAACAAGUGCAUAUGUUUUCCAGCAUCCUCCCCGGUACGAUUGCUGUUCCUGAAUGUUUCUGUUCAUGUUAGCAUGUAUGUUUGUUCUGCCUGUUAGUUCAGUUUUGUAGAACAAAUGGAGAAAACGAAAAUAUAGAUUUUUAACCGCAACAAGAUUCCCUGCAGACAGGAUUUUUUUGUACAGCUAUAGAAAUGCAGCAGCUCAGAGGAAGAGCACAGCGUGUAAUUCUACAUACAUCACAGCCC